AGAGUUUGAUUCAUGGCUCAGAUUGAACGCUGGCGGCAUGCCUUACACAUGCAAGUCGAACGGUAACAGGUCUUCGGACGCUGACGAGUGGCGAACGGGUGAGUAAUACAUCGGAACGUGCCCAGUCGUGGGGGAUAACUACUCGAAAGAGUAGCUAAUACCGCAUACGAUCUGAGGAUGAAAGCGGGGGACCUUCGGGCCUCGCGCGAUUGGAGCGGCCGAUGGCAGAUUAGGUAGUUGGUGGGAUAAAAGCUUACCAAGCCGACGAUCUGUAGCUGGUCUGAGAGGACGACCAGCCACACUGGGACUGAGACACGGCCCAGACUCCUACGGGAGGCAGCAGUGGGGAAUUUUGGACAAUGGGCGAAAGCCUGAUCCAGCAAUGCCGCGUGCAGGAUGAAGGCCUUCGGGUUGUAAACUGCUUUUGUACGGAACGAAAAAGCUCCUUCUAAUACAGGGGGCCCAUG
rnacentral:rRNA from 1 species